GGAAGUAAAAGUCGUAACAAGGUUUCCGUAGGUGAACCUGCGGAAGGAUCAUUACUGAUUUAGCGAACCGAGCGUUAGCGAGGUUUUGCGAUCAACUUGUAUUUAAAACCCACUCUUCAAUGUAUAAAAUUUGUAUUAAUGGUAAAUUAAAAGAUCACUUUCAACAACGGAUCUCUUGGCUCUCGCAUCGAUGAAGAACGUAGCGAAGUGCGAUAAGUAAUGUGAAUUGCAGUAUUCCGUGAAUCAUCGAACCUUUGAACGCAUAUUGCACUUUCUGGUAUUCCGGAAAGUAUGCCUGUUUGAGGGUCAGUUAAAUAAAAAUCGGUGUUGUUGCCGCUUUCCGUGGUGACGCGUCGGAAUUGAGUCGUCUUCGGUUAAGUGACUUAAAAUUUUAUAUGAUUUUCGAACGUAUUUAAAUUUAUUUGAACGUUUGAUAUCGAAUGCUUAUUAGGUUCGGUCAUCCUCAUGACUCGCGCCUAUAAUUCUUCAUUAAAUGACCUCAAAUCAGGUAAGAAUACCCGCUGAACUUAAGCAUAUCAAUAAGCGGAGGA
rnacentral:rRNA from 1 species